AGUUAAUGAGCUUGUAAAGCAUAUACCUUGAAAGUAUAAGAAAAGAAUAAGACCUUAUUAACUU
rnacentral:tRNA from 1 species